rnacentral:RNase_P_RNA from 1 species
GUAGGUAAGUGCCUGACUAACCUUUGAGGAGGAAAGUCCACACACAAAUAUCGGUCGCUUAAUUUAAGUCGAGGAAACUCGAGGCAACCGCUCAGAAAUGGCACGUCCUUACAUUGUUUAAUAAUGAGGCUUGCGAAGUUUCUUGGCAACAAGAGAUGAGUUAACCAGCUGAAUAGAUGUAAGGGAACGAUGAGACAGCGGAGCACGACUUUGUGCAAGUUUUUGAAACGCUUAGUCGAAUGUCAGGAUACAUUGUCCAUUUAAGUGGAAUGUUAACAGAAUGUGGCUUACACUUACCUAC